UUCCCCCCACACACACACUACAGCUCUUGCAUCCGCUACUGACCUGAUAUCCGCAUCCCUCUCGUGUUCUCCCCACCCUCCUGUUUCCCUUGUAGCAAAGUGCUGUUGUGUCAAGUUUGUUACCGGGGGGCGGGAAGCUACCUCGCAUACCGAUCUGUGUGACCCAGUGUACGCGGGGUUGUUAACAUGCAAACGUGGACCCUUGUUUACUUCUCGCCACUGGUGUUUGUUACUCCCUUUGGAGAGUGAAAGUGCGCUGCUGCUGGCACCGCAAAUUCAAGUUGAGAGUUGAAAAAUCCAGCAGUGUUCUCUCUGCCUCCUACUGUCACCAUAAAUAAUAAAGAUUUUAGGAUCAGACAUUUGCUGGCAACUUUGUUGUAAGAGACUCCAGCUCUCUCUGCUGUGUCUAUGUUGGCUCUUCAAGAAUAACAGCAGAAACUUUUCUGCAUCCAUAAAGUCAGCAGAUCUGCCUUGAAGACAAACAGGGCAUGGAUACAUUGAAUAAAAAGUUCCAGUUGAACAGAAUCAUCUUCCUGAUUAUACUGCCCUGCUGUUUAAAGAAAGGAAUAUGUACUUUAUAGUCCAGAUAGCCUAAUCAGUGUAUUUUUAGUCCUGACUCAUGCAUCAUGUUAUUGUGGUAAAUUAUACCCAUUGCUGCA